rnacentral:rRNA from 1 species
AACGAACGCUGGCGGCAGGCCUAACACAUGCAAGUCGAACGACAUAGUGGCAGACGGGUGAGUAACGCGUGGGAACGUACCCCAAGGUACGGAAUAGCUGUUGGAAACGACAGGUAAUACCGUAUGUUACCGGGAGGGGAAAGAUUUAUCGCCUUGGGAUCGGCCCGCGUUAGAUUAGCUUGUUGGUGAGGUAAUGGCUCACCAAGGCGACGAUCUAUAGCUGGUUUGAGAGAACGACCAGCCACACUGGGACUGAGACACGGCCCAGACUCCUACGGGAGGCGGCAGUGGGGAAUCUUGCACAAUGGGCGAAAGCCUGAUGCAGCCAUGCCGCGUGAAUGAUGAAGGCCUUAGGGUUGUAAAAUUCCUUCACCAGGGAAGAUAAUGACUGUACCUGGAGAAGAAGCCCCGGCUAACUUCGUGCCAGCAGCCGCCGUAA